rnacentral:rRNA from 1 species
UACGGAGGGUGCAAACGUUGCUCGGAAUCAUUGGGCGUAAAGCGCACGUAGGCGGCCUGAUAAGUCGGGUGUGAAAGCCCUGGGCUCAACCCAGGAAGUGCACUCGAAACUGUCAGGCUUGAAUAUGGAAGAGGGUCGCGGAAUUCCCGGUGUAGAGGUGAAAUUCGUAGAUAUCGGGAGGAACACCAGUGGCGAAGGCGCGACCUGGGCCAAUAUUGACGCUGAGGUGCGAAAGCGUGGGGAGCAAACAGG